rnacentral:rRNA from 1 species
CCUACGGGAGGCAGCAGUGGGGAAUAUUGGACAAUGGGCGAAAGCCUGAUCCAGCCAUGCCGCGUGUGUGAAGAAGGCCUUCGGGUUGUAAAGCACUUUCAGUGGGGAAGAAAGCCUUGGGGCUAAUACCCUCGAGGAAGGACAUCACCCACAGAAGAAGCACCGGCUAACUCCGUGCCAGCAGCCGCGGUAAUACGGAGGGUGCGAGCGUUAAUCGGAAUUACUGGGCGUAAAGCGCGCGUAGGCGGUCUGAUAAGCCGGUUGUGAAAGCCCCGGGCUCAACCUGGGAACGGCAUCCGGAACUGUCAGGCUAGAGUACAGGAGAGGAAGGUAGAAUUCCCGGUGUAGCGGUGAAAUGCGUAGAGAUCGGGAGGAAUACCAGUGGCGAAGGCGGCCUUCUGGACUGACACUGACGCUGAGGUGCGAAAGCGUGGGUAGCAAACAGGAUUAGAUCCCCCAGUAGUC